GCUUAGAGUUUGAUCCUGGCUCAGGAUGAACGCUGGCGGUCGGCUUAACACAUGCAAGUCGAACGGAUUCUUCGGAAUCAGUGGCGGACGGGUGAGUAACGCGUGAGAAUCUGCCUUCAGGAUGGGGACAACAGCGGGAAACUGCUGCUAAUCCCCAAUAAGCCGAGAGGUGAAAGAAAUUCGCCUGAAGAGGAGCUCGCGUCCGAUUAGCUAGUUGGUGAGGUAAGAGCUCACCAAGGCGACGAUCGGUAGCUGGUCUGAGAGGACGAUCAGCCACACUGGGACUGAGACACGGCCCAGACUCCUACGGGAGGCAGCAGUGGGGAAUUUUCCGCAAUGGGCGCAAGCCUGACGGAGCCAGACCGCGUGAGGGAAGAAAGCCUUUGGGUUGUAAACCUCUUUUCCCAGGGAAGAAACCUGACGGUACCUGGGGAAUCAGCCUCGGCUAACUCCGUGCCAGCAGCCGCGGUAAUACGGAGGAGGCAAGCGUUAUCCGGAAUCAUUGGGCGUAAAGCGUCCGUAGGGUGCCAUCCAAGUCUGCUGUCAAAGCUCCUGGCUCAACCGGGAAAAGGCAGUGGAAACUAGGUGGCUAGAGGGCGAUAGGGGCAGAGGGAAUUCCCGGUGUAGCGGUGAAAUGCGUAGAGAUCGGGAAGAACACCAGUGGCGAAAGCGCUCUGCUGGGUCGCACCUGACCCUGAGGGACGAAAGCUAGGGGAGCGAAAGGGAUUAGAUACCCCUGUAGUCCUAGCCGUAAACGAUGGAUACUAGGUGUCGCGCGUAUCGACCCGUGCGGUGCCGUAGCCAACGCGAUAAGUAUCCCGCCUGGGGAGUACGCACGCAAGUGUGAAACUCAAAGGAAUUGACGGGGGCCCCGCACAGCGGUGGAGUAUGUGGUUUAAUUCGAUGCAACGCGA
rnacentral:rRNA from 1 species